AUACGGAGGGAGCGAGCGUUAAUCGGAAUUACUGGGCGUAAAGCGCGCGUAGGCGGCUUUGUAAGUCGGAUGUGAAAGCCCUGGGCUCAACCUGGGAAUGGCAUUCGAUACUGCAGAGCUAGAGUAUGGUAGAGGGAAGUGGAAUUUCUGGUGUAGCGGUGAAAUGCGUAGAUAUCGGAAGGAACACCAGUGGCGAAGGCGACUUCCUGGGCCAAUACUGACGCUGAGGUGCGAAAGCGUGGGGAGCAAACAGGAUUAGAAACCCCAGUAGUCC
rnacentral:rRNA from 1 species